rnacentral:rRNA from 1 species
UACGAAGGGGGCUAGCGUUGUUCGGAUUUACUGGGCGUAAAGCGCACGUAGGCGGAUCGUUAAGUCGGUGGUGAAAUCCUGGAGCUCAACUCCAGAACUGCCUUCGAUACUGGCGAUCUAGAGUCCGGAAGAGGUGAGUGGAACUCCUAGUGUAGAGGUGGAAUUCGUAGAUAUUAGGAAGAACACCAGUGGCGAAGGCGGCUCACUGGUCCGGUACUGACGCUGAGGUGCGAAAGCGUGGGGAGCAAACAGG